rnacentral:rRNA from 1 species
UACAGAGGUCUCAAGCGUUGUUCGGAUUCAUUGGGCGUAAAGGGUGUGUAGGUGGCGCGCUAAGUCGGGCGUGAAAUUUCGGAGCUUAACUCCGAAACUGCAUUCGAUACUGGCGUGCUUGAGGACUGGAGAGGAGACUGGAAUUCAUGGUGUAGCAGUGAAAUGCGUAGAGAUCAUGAGGAAGACCAGUGGCGAAGGCGGCAUCCUGGACCAUUACUGACGCUGAGGCGCGAAAGCUAGGGGAGCAAACGGG